ACCCGGAUUUUGUGCUUAUAAAACAUUUUAAGCGAUCAUUACUAAUUAUUUAUUGUUCUUUAAGAAAUUGUGUCAUUACUAAAUCAAAUUAGCUAUUUGCACUAAUCAGAAGAAAAAAUGAGUUUACUUAUCAUGUUAAGCAGGGACAACUCCCUUCCUUAUGUUUUUGUUAGAGAGGGGUGGGGCCUUGAUUGGCUGAGGUGACGUGAGCAAAACGCUCAGUGAGUGCCUGGAGCUUUUAGGAUGCUGGGUUACCGCGGAUUUUUGAAAAUCAACAUGACACGAUGGACCUUACGUUUGCAAAAAAGUGGAGUCUUAACCUGCAAUAAGGUGGGUCCUGCUGCGCUGGCCUGCACUUUUUACAGUAGAUCAGGUGUUCUUGUAGUUCAGCAGUGGGAAAGAACCUCAAGCAGGAAUUAGGUAACACUUUAUAACAACUACACACUAUAAAUCA